rnacentral:SRP_RNA from 1 species
GCCGGGUGCGGUGGCAUGUGCCUGUAAUCCAAGUCACUGGGAGGCUGAGGUUGGUGGAUCAAGUGAGCUGAGAGCUCUGGGCUGCAGCACGCUAUGUCGAACGGGUGUCCACGCUAAGUUCGGUAUCGAUAUGGUGUUCCUGGGGGAGCCCGGGACCACCAGGUUGUCUAAGGAGGGGUGAACCGGCCCAGGUCGGAAACGAAGCAGGUCAAAUCCCCCGUGCUGUCCAGUAGUGGGAUAAUACCUGUGAGUAGAUGCUGCAGUGCAGCCUUGGCAAAACAUCGAGACCUAAUCUUUU